rnacentral:tRNA from 1 species
CAGGAAAUAGUUUAAUUGAAAAUUUUGGUUUUGGAGGCCAAAAAUGGGGAUGAAAAUUUUGUUAA